CAUUUAGAGGAAGUAAAAGUCGUAACAAGGUUUCCGUAGGUGAACCUGCGGAAGGAUCAUUACUGAAUUGUCAAACGGGUUGUUGCUGGCCCUCAUAGGGGGCAUGUGCACGCUCUGUUUACACAUCCACUCACACCUGUGCACCCUCUGUAGUUCUAUGGUCUGGGGGACCCUGUCUUCCUUCUGUGGUUCUACGUCUUUACACACACACUGUAAUAAAGUUUUAUGGAAUGUACAUCGCGUCUAACGCAAUACAAUACAACUUUCAGCAACGGAUCUCUUGGCUCUCGCAUCGAUGAAGAACGCAGCGAAAUGCGAUAAGUAAUGUGAAUUGCAGAAUUCAGUGAAUCAUCGAAUCUUUGAACGCACCUUGCGCCCCUUGGCUAUUCCGAGGGGCAUGCCUGUUUGAGUAUCAUGAACACCUCAACUCUCAUGGUUUGCCAUGAUGAGUUGGACUCUGGGGGUUUUGCUGGCCUGUGGUCGGCUCCUCUCAAAUUAAUCAGCCUCCCAGUGUUUGGUGGCAUCACGGGUGUGAUAAAUAUCUACGCUCGCUGUUGUCUGCCAGGUAACCUUUGGUCACAAAGGUUUGCUGGAGCUCACAGAUGUCUCUCCUCAGCGAGGACAGCUUUUUUAACGUUCGAUCUCAAAUCAGGUAGGACUACCCGCUGAACUUAAGCAUAUCAAUAAGCGGAGGAAA
rnacentral:rRNA from 1 species